CGUUAAGAAAUCUUUCUGGGGCAACUCUUGUACCCAGAGAACCAGCGUAUACAAAACAGGGAAAAGUACACACCUAGCCCUUAAAAUAUAAUAAAGGAAAAGCCUAACAACUAUAAAAAGGCUUAAUUAAUAGCCCAGGAAUCAAUAACACGUAUUUGUUCCCACUUAGCAGCACUUGAAGGGAUGGUCUGCCACCAAGGUUUCUGAUGUGGUUUGGCUGUGUUCCCACCCAAAUCUCAUCUUGAAUCGUAGUUCCCAUAACCCUCAUGGUCGUGGGAGGGACUCAAUGAGAGGUAAUUGAAUCAUGGGGGUGAUUACCUCCACGCUGUUCUCAUGAUAGUGAGUGAGUUCUCACAAGAUCUGAUGGCUUUAUAAGGGGCUUUCACCGCCUUUGCUCUGAGCUUCUUGUUGCUGCCACGUGAAGAAGGACAUGCUUACUUCACCUUCCGCCAUGGUUGUAAAUUUCUUGAAUCCUCCCUGGGCCUGCAGAACGUUCUAAUCCGCUUUUGCAAUCACCCAAGCAUCACUUCCUCUGGGACUCUGUAGCAGGCUGUAUUAUGGGCCAAGAUAUUCACCACCCCUUCCCACUGGCCUGACCCUGUGGAAGGAUUAUACUUCUUGCUCCAUUUACAGCAGACCUAAUCACAUGACUUCCUUAGCCAAUGAAACCUGAGAGGAGUGACACAUGCCACUUUGCAGCAGAAGCCAUUGUUUGGCUCUACCAUUUUCAUUUUCCCUCUGCCAAGAGACCAUGGAGGAACUACACCUUUACCCUUGGUUCCAGAAUGAAGAGAGUUUAAGGCAGAACCUCAGGAGACAUCUGGUGGACAUGAAUGUCAGAAAGAUAAAAGCUUUAUUGGUUUUUAGUCACUGAGAUGUUAGAGUCAUUUGUUACUGCAGCAUCCUGUAGCCCACGCCGACUGAUAGACUAACCUGGGUGGAUUUCAGCAGCUUCUUCCCUUAUGUUCUCAUUGCACCUCAUGUGCAAUCCAGUUAUACCGAUUACCUCACUGUGAUGUAAUCAUUUACUGUCUUCUCCCCCACAUCAGAGUCCAGGUCAUCUCUGUUAUGUUCCCCCAGUGCUUUGCACAAGGCAUGGAACACAGGAGGCCCUCAAAAAUGGGAAUGAAUAAAUG
rnacentral:lncRNA from 1 species